GUCCACGCCCUAAACGAUGGAUACUCGAUGUUCCGCCGCAAGGUGGAGCGUCUUAGCAAAGCGUUAAGUAUCCCACCUGGGGAAUACGACCGCAAGGUUAAACUCAAAGGAAUUGACGGGGCCCGCACAAGCGGUGGAUCAUGUGGUUUAAUUCGAUGCUACACGAGGAACCUUACCUGGGCUAGAAUGCGCGUGUAAUCCCGAGAGAUCGGGACCUCCCGCAAGGGACACAAAGCAAGGUGCUGCAUGGCUGUCGU
rnacentral:rRNA from 1 species